rnacentral:lncRNA from 1 species
AGUUUGCAACUUCAACUGUAGAGAGCUGAAGUGUGGGCUUGUUAGUGGUGGAUCCGUACAGGUCUGAAGCAACUUGAUUCUUGCCUCCUUGAAGGAAAGAAUUUGUCUAAGGGGCAUAAGGCAGAGUGAGAGACCAAGGACUGUUCCCUGAUGUGGGUGGAGGUUAUUUCUUGCCACGACUCCAAGGAAAACUUGGUUACUUCCUUGCAUUAACAGGAUUCAGACUAAAAGGAAGAGAUGUGUACAGAGCAGGAAUUGCUACACACUUUGUAGAUUCUGAAAAGUUGGCCAUGUUAGAGGAAGAUUUGUUAGCCUUGAAAUCUCCUUCAAAAGAAAAUAUUGCAUCUGUCUUAGAAAAUUACCAUACAGAGUCUAAGAUUGAUCGAGACAAGUCUUUUAUACUUGAGGAACACAUGGACAAAAUAAACAGGUCUUAUCAAGCCGAUCAGCAAAAAAGGUUUUGUGUGAUGAUUUGAGAGAUUGACAAACUGGCUUUGGG